AUGACCGCUAUAUUCUCUGACUUUUGUGAAAAGAUUGUUGAGGUUUUCAUGGAUGACUUUUCUGUUUAUGGGAAGUCUUUUGAUGAUUGUUUAAGCAAUCUUGAUCGAGUUUUGCAGAGAUGUGAACAAACAAAUCUUGUCUUGAAUUGGGAGAAGUGCCACUUUAUGAUUAACAAAGGUAUUGUCUUGGGUCAUAAAAUUUCUGAAAGAGGUAUUGAAGUGGACAAAGCUAAGGUUGAUGCAAUUGAGAAAAUGCCAUGUCCUAAAGAUAUCAAAGGUAUUCGUAGUUUGCUAGGUCAUGCUGGUUUCUAUAGGAGAUUUAUCAAAGACUUUUCUAAAAUUUCUAGGCCUCUUACAAACCUUUUGCAAAAGGAUGCUCCUUUUGUUUUUGCUGAUGAUUGUUUAGAAGCCCUUGAAACACUCAAGAAAGCCUUAAUUUCUGCACCUAUUGUUCAACCACCUGAUUGGAACUUGCCUAUUCUAGGACAAAGAGUUGAUAAGAAACUGAAUGUUAUUCAUUAUGCUAGUAAAACUCUAGACAGUUCUCAAACAAAUUAUGCUACUACUGAAAACGAAUUUCUAGCAGUGGUGUCCGCUUGUGAUAAAUUUAGAUCUUACAUUGUUGAUUCAAAAGUAAUUGUUCACACCGACCAUGCUGCUAUUAAAUAUCUUAUGGCAAAGAAAGAUGCUAAACCUAGACUUAUUCGAUGGGUUCUCUUGUUACAAGAAUUUGACUUACAUAUCACUUAUAGAAAAGGAGCUGAGAACCCCAUAGCUGAUAACACUUGUAGCACAUAG
rnacentral:rRNA from 1 species